rnacentral:rRNA from 1 species
CACGUAGGGUGCGAGCGUUGUCCGGAAUUACUGGGCGUAAAGAGCUCGUAGGCGGUGUGUCGCGUCGGCCGUGAAAACCUGCAGCUUAACUGUGGGCUUGCGGUCGAUACGGGCAUCACUGGAGUUCGGCAGGGGAGACUGGAAUUCCUGGUGUAGCGGUGAAAUGCGCAGAUAUCAGGAGGAACACCGGUGGCGAAGGCGGGU